rnacentral:rRNA from 1 species
AUGUGUGGCAAUGUGCUUGAUGGAAUAAGGACAGGAGGACAAGUUGGUUCCUGGGGCCGCACACCAGAGUUUUUCCGGGAGCCGAGCUCAUUUGGGCGACCGCAGGGGCAGGGCCCGCCGUGGGAUCCCAGACAGAUGUUCCUGCAGGGUGGUGGCAUUCCACUUCCUGUGAGGGAUAGCAUGCCGCUGCCAGUGAGGGAGAAGAAUGGUGGGCAUCAUGUUGUCAUGCUGAAUGGGGCAGACAUGAAAGGAUAUGGUGAUGCAUCUCAUAAUCAGAUCAUGGUUGGAGCAGCACGAAAUGAGAGUGACGAACACCUAAAGCACUCUCAAUCAGAAGCAGACACCAAACGCGCCAAACAGCAAUAUGCUCAGAGGUCUCGUGUCCGGAAGCUCCAAUACAUUGCAGAGCUCGAGAAAAGAGUUCAAGCCUUACAGACACAAGGGAUAGAAGUUUCAGCUGAAAUGGAUUUUCUUGGUCAACAAAAUAUCAUGUUAGACCUGGAGAACAAAUCCUUGAAACAGCGGCUUGAGAGUUUAUCUCAGGAGCAUGUAAUAAAACGUGUGCAACAGGAGAUGUUUGAGCGGGAAAUAGGUCGUCUUAGAUCAUUGUUCCAGCAGCAGCAGCAACAACAGCACAUACUUCAGCAGCAGACUCCUGCCCACAAUCGUAGUAACAGCAGAGACCUCGAUUCACAAUUCGCAAGCAUGUCUCUGAAACACAACGAGUCAAACUCAGGGCAUGAUGCCGUCCCCGGCCUUCGCAUUUAA